GACCGCACGCGAUAAUGGACAUUAUCGCGUGCGGUUGUGUUAAGUCGCCCGCACGGGAUAAUCUAUUAUCCCGUGCGGGC
rnacentral:pre_miRNA from 11 species